rnacentral:lncRNA from 1 species
AGACUGAAAAUGUCAUAAAUGAAGAAAUAAUUGGAGAAAAUCAUUGUGAAGAAGUAUGAAUGGACGGUAACACAAAUGGAGUAAGACUUAAAGAGAUAUAGGCAUACCAAAUGCUGACAUGAUUUUUAUGAGUUGUGAAGAUUUAAAGAAAUCUGUUUGAAUAACAAUUUUUGAGGCCACCUAUAAAUUUGUGUUCAUUACUUCCACUAAGCAAAGUUCUUUUGAUUAUUCUUUGAUCAUUGAAAUGUUUUGUAUUUUAUUUAAUUUACAGCAACAAAAAUAACUCUUGAGAAGGAAUAAAUAUGAACCGAUGGAGAUAAUUAUUUAGUAAUGUUUGAAAUAUAUGUUUUAGAACAUUGCACUUAUUAAUGAGUAUAAGAAUAUUAUGAAAACAGAAAAAUAAUGAGCCUUGUAAGAGUUCACACAAUUAUUUUAUAUAAUUGGUAUUCUACAUUCAAGGAGAGCUUGAAUAUAGAAAUUAAAGAAGCAUAUGCUCAUUUGAAAAGAGACAAAUCUAAUAGUGUAAUUAAAGCUUGUGCCUUAUAACACAAUAAAAAUAUCCAGAAGGAUUUUAUCCUUAAUUGUGACAUAAAAUGAUUUCUAACCUUUAUUUUUUGAGUCAGAAAAAAACGAGGAAGCAUGGGUUCUUCUUUGCUAUACGAA